rnacentral:misc_RNA from 1 species
AAGUCGUAACAAGGUUUCCGUAGGUGAACCUGCGGAAGGAUCAUUAUUGAACAAACCUGGGAGGUUGACUGCUGGCUCUUUGGGGCAUGUGCACACCUCUCAACUUUUGUCAUCCACCUGUGCACCCUUUGUAGGCUUGCUUGGUGUUGCCUUUGCACAAGUCCAGCUUGCCCUAUGUUUUUACACACCCCCAAAAUGAAUGUUAUGAAUGUAUCUAUUUGAUUGGCUCUGCCAGUUAUAAACUAAUACAACUUUCAACAACGGAUCUCUUGGCUCUC